rnacentral:rRNA from 1 species
GUAUCAGUCCAGGUGGUCGCCUUCGCCACUGGUGUUCCUUCCUAUAUCUACGCAUUUCACCGCUACACAGGAAAUUCCACCACCCUCUACCGUACUCUAGCUUGCCAGUUUUGGAUGCAGUUCCCAGGUUGAGCCCGGGGCUUUCACAUCCAACUUAACAAACCACCUACGCGCGCUUUACGCCCAGUAAUUCCGAUUAACGCUUGCACCCUCUGUAUUACCGCGGCUGCUGGCACAGAGUUAGCCGGUGCUUAUUCUGUCGGUAACGUCAAAACAGCAAGGUAUUAACUUACUGCCCUUCCUCCCAACUUAAAGUGCUUUACAAUCCGAAGACCUUCUUCACACACGCGGCAUGGCUGGAUCAGGCUUUCGCCCAUUGUCCAAUAUUCCCCACUGCUGCCUCCCGUAGGAGUCUGGACCGUGUCUCAGUUCCAGUGUGACUGAUCAUCCUCUCAGACCAGUUACGGAUCGUCGCCUUGGUGAGCCAUUACCCCACCAACUAGCUAAUCCGACCUAGGCUCAUCUGAUAGCGCAAGGCCCGAAGGUCCCCUGCUUUCUCCCGUAGGACGUAUGCGGUAUUAGCGUUCCUUUCGAAACGUUGUCCCCCACUACCAGGCAGAUUCCUAGGCAUUACUCACCCGUCCGCCGCUGAAUCAAGGAGCAAGCUCCCGUCAUCCGCUCGA